UACGAAGGGGCUAGCGUUGCUCGGAAUCACUGGGCGUAAAGCGCACGUAGGCGGAUUGUUAAGUCAGGGGUGAAAUCCUGGAGCUCAACUCCAGAACUGCCUUUGAUACUGGCGAUCUUGAGUCCGGGAGAGGUGAGUGGAACUGCGAGUGUAGAGGUGAAAUUCGUAGAUAUUCGCAAGAACACCAGUGGCGAAGGCGGCUCACUGGCCCGGUACUGACGCUGAGGUGCGAAAGCGUGGGGAGCAAACAGG
rnacentral:rRNA from 1 species